rnacentral:rRNA from 1 species
AUUGAACGCUGGCGGCAUGCCUUACACAUGCAAGUCGAACGGUAACAGGUCUUCGGAUGCUGACGAGUGGCGAACGGGUGAGUAAUACAUCGGAACGUGCCCGAGAGUGGGGGAUAACGAAGCGAAAGCUUUGCUAAUACCGCAUACGAUCUCAGGAUGAAAGCAGGGGACCGCAAGGCCUUGCGCUCACGGAGCGGCCGAUGGCAGAUUAGGUAGUUGGUGGGAUAAAAGCUUACCAAGCCGACGAACUGUAGAUGGUCUGAGAGGACGACCAGCCACACUGGGACUGAGAGACGGCCCAGACGCCAACGGGAGGCAGCGAUGGGGAAUUUUGGACAAUGGGCGCAAGCCUGAUCAGCCAUGCCGCGUGCAGGAUGAAGGCCUUCGGGUUGUAAACUGCUUUUGUACGGAACGAAAAGACUCUGGUUAAUACCUGGGGUCCAUGACGGUACCGUAAGAAUAAGCACCGGCUAACUACGUGCCAGCAGCCGCCGUAA